GAGUGAUCCUUUGCUUCAGUCGGCGAGUCACAUUCUUAAACUAACCAAGGGACACUGGAGUCCUUCAAGACCUGGAGUGUUCUUCAUCACUAAAGUUGAUGGCAGCGUUGACGUGUGGGAUCUCUUAGAUAGGUCUCAUGAGCCAUCUUUGACUCAAAACGUAACAGCAUCUCCAAUUACAACCAUUUAUCCUCACCAAGUGUCAGGUAA